UACGGAGGGAGCUAGCGUUGUUCGGAAUUACUGGGCGUAAAGCGCACGUAGGCGGCUUUGUAAGUUAGGGGUGAAAGCCCGGAGCUCAACUCCGGAACUGCCAUUGAAACUGUUUAGCUUGAGGACGAGAGAGGUGAGUGGAAUUCCCAGUGUAGAGGUGAAAUUCGUAGAUAUUGGGAAGAACACCGGUGGCGAAGGCGGCUCACUGGCUCGUUUCUGACGCUCAGGCGCGAUAGCGUGGGGAUCAAACAGG
rnacentral:rRNA from 1 species